CUGCUCACCACCUUUGUGUGCCCUUCAGUGAGUGUUUGUGUAGCUUAAAGAAAGGCAUAUGCUCCACUCAGUGUUUGGGACAAUGUUUUGUUUCCAGAUGGCAUCUUCACAGGUCUGGUACCAGCUGAUCAGUGAACUAGGAUUCAUGAAGAACUGUGUCAUCUGUGCCAAGGCAGGAGACCAAACAAGAAAGUCCCUGAGGAAGGCCAAGUAAAAUAAGGAGUGGGGCAACAUCAUCUGAUGCAGCUGCUGCCUUCAAGUCUCUUCAGAUUAAAUCACAUUAAUUUACUGCGGGAUCAUUAUAAAGCCAUUCAUGGAUGCUUGUGUACUCAGAAAUCACAUUUACCAGCUAACUGAAUAGAUGAAUGUAAAGGAAAUUACAACUUUCUUCUCUGAAAUCAUAGGCCUCUUCCACUUAAACGAGAGAAUUUUUACUGGCUGAGGGCUAUUAGAAG
rnacentral:lncRNA from 12 species